rnacentral:rRNA from 1 species
ACCAGACUCCUACGGGAGGCAGCAGUGGGGAAUAUUACACAAUGGGGGAAACCCUGAUGCAGCGACGCCGCGUGAGUGAAGAAGUAUUUCGGUAUGUAAAGCUCUAUCAGCAGGAACGAGACAAGACGGUACCUGACUAAGAAGCCCCGGCUAACUACGUGCCAGCAGCCGCGGUAAUACGUAGGGGGCAAGCGUUAUCCGGAAUCACUGGGUGUAAAGGGAGCGUAGACGGCUGUGCAAGCCUGAAGUGAAAGGCGGGGGCCCAACCCCUGGACUGCUUUGGGAACUGUACGGCUGGAGUGCAGGAGAGGUAAGUGGAAUUCCUAGUGUAGCGGUGAAAUGCGUAGAUAUUAGGAGGAACACCAGUGGCGAAGGCGGCUUACUGGACUGUAACUGACGUUGAGGCUCGAAAGCGUGGGGAGCAAACAGGAUUAGAUACCCCCGUAUA